rnacentral:rRNA from 1 species
UACGAGAGGGGCAAGCGUUAUUCGGAAUGAUUGGGCGUAAAGCGCCUGUAGGCGGUGAUCAACUUGUCGGGGAUGCAGCUCACAGGAAUGCUGUGAACCACCCCGGGAGGUUGGUCGCUUGAGGCGGUCAGAGGAGCGUGGAAUUCCUGGAGGAGCGGUAAAAUGUGUUGAGCUCAGGAGGAACACCGAUGGCGAAAGCAGCGCUCUGGGACCGACCUGACGUUGAGAGGCGAAAGCGUGGGGAUCGAAAGGG